rnacentral:lncRNA from 1 species
UGCAUUUUUCUCAUCAUUGAAGAAUCAGCCCCAUCACAGGCCCUCAGAGACAGUAGUACUUACUGGCCAUCAAAUAUAGCUAAGAUAAUGUGUUGUCAUCUAGUGGUUUUAUAUCAAUGAAAUUUACCAAAGAAUCAGUUCGUGAAAGAGAAAAAGGAAGACAAUACUUCAACAGGUACCUGUCCCUCUCCUCGGGAUACUUGACCCCACACCUCACCUCUGUAAUUAUCAUUCAUUCUUCAAGUCUCAGGUUGGCAAGUUGAAUUCACUGGUGAACUAAAGCAGACUGGUAACGAUAGAGGUUGGAAGGAGAGGAGCCAAGCAAUAAAGAAAAAAACACUGUCCUCCAAAGUAUUGCACUAGAUUCUCUUCAUUUCCUUUUCCUUCCUGACCCAUUAAUUUGGAAGUUCCAUAAUUCUUUCCAGUGCACCAGUGUUUAUCUUCUGAUUUAACGUGAAUGCCUUAGAAGACGGCAUUUAAGGCAAGAUUGAAGCCCUAUUAUGGCUGCUCAAUGUACCUCCCAUGUCAUGCUAUAGUUGUUUGAGAAACUCAUUCUAAAAGAAAAAAGACUGUCUGCACAAUCCAUGCCAAAGAAGCUUUGAUAAUCAGGCCAAUCACCUAAUUACAAGUUUGUAUUUCUAUUCCCACUGAGAUGUGCCAAUUAAAAGGAUUCGAC